rnacentral:rRNA from 1 species
AUACGUAGGGGGCGAGCGUUGUCCGGAAUUACUGGGCGUAAAGGGUGCGUAGGCGGUCUGUUAAGUCAGAUGUGAAAUACCUCGGCUCAACUGAGGGGUUGCAUUUGAAACUGGUAGGCUAGAGUACAGGAGAGGGAAGUGGAAUUCCUAGUGUAGCGGUGAAAUGCGUAGAGAUUAGGAAGAACACCAGUGGCGAAGGCGGCUUCCUGGCCUGUAACUGACGCUGAGGCACGAAAGCGUGGGUAGCGAACAGGAUUAGAUACCCUGGUAGUCCACGCUGUAAACGAUGGAUACUAGGUGUAGGGGGUAUCGACCCCCUCUGUGCCGGAGUUAACGCAAUAAGUAUCCCGCCUGGGGAGUACGACCGCAAGGUUGAA